UUUGAUUUGUUAUUUCGCGUUAAAGGCGUCAAAUCCUAUUUCAGGAGAUAACCGCACUUCGGGUCAGCGUGCCGUCCGUGAGCCUUUCAUCCUGAGAUGUGAACUGGGGGCCGGGGGCUAAUCUGGGGUCGAACCCUAGCUGUGAGUCGUUGUGGAAGGAUCGUUGCCGGUUGAGUCACGAAUCGCAGAUCGACGGUGCCCAGUUCCACAAAAGGCAAAGAAAGAAUCCCAAAUGUUGAAGAACGCUGCCAAAACAGGGUUACUGUUACCCUCUACUGGAUAAGUUUUUAUAGAA